rnacentral:siRNA from 1 species
CAGAAAUUGGUAACCGAGUUCAC